rnacentral:rRNA from 1 species
CAASCCUGAUSCAGCAAUGCCGCGUGUGUGAAGAAGGCCUGCGGGUUGUAAAGCACUUUUAUUGGGAAAGAAAACCUUGGGGUUAAWAACCCCGGGGCUUGACGGUACCCGACAGAAUAAGCACCGGCUAACUCCGUGCCAGCAGCCGCGGUAAUACCGAAGGGUGCAAGCGUUAAUUGGAAUUACUGGGCGUAAAGCGAGKGUAGGCGGCUUGGUAAGUUGRAUGUGAAAGCCCCGGGCUUAACCUGGGAAUUGCAUUUGAUACUGGCCGGCUAGAGUUUGAUAAAGGGAAAGUGGAAUUCCGGGUGUAGCGGUGAAAUGCGUARAUAUUCGGAGGAACACCAGUGGCGAAGGCGGCUUUCUGGAUCAAAACUGACCCUKAGGCUCGAAAGCGUGGGGAGCAAACCGGAUUARAUACCCUGGUAGUCCCCGCCCUAAACGAUGUCAACUUAGACGUUGGGGGCUUUAACCCUUUAGUGUCGMAGCUAACGCGUUAAGUUGACCGCCUGGGAAGUACGGCCCCAAGGUUAAAA